CCUACGGGAGGCAGCAGUGAGGAAUAUUGGUCAAUGGACGAGAGUCUGAACCAGCCAAGUAGCGUGAAGGAUGAUUGCCCUAUGGGUUGUAAACUUCUUUUAUAUGGGAAUAAAAUGUUCCACGUGUGGGAUUUUGUAUGUACCAUAUGAAUAAGGAUCGGCUAACUCCGUGCCAGCAGCCGCGGUAAUACGGAGGAUCCGAGCGUUAUCCGGAUUUAUUGGGUUUAAAGGGAGCGUAGGUGGAUUGUUAAGUCAGUUGUGAAAGUUUGCGGCUCAACCGUAAAAUUGCAGUUGAAACUGGCAGUCUUGAGUACAAUAGAGGUGGGCGGAAUUCGUGGUGUAGCGGUGAAAUGCUUAGAUAUCACGAAGAACUCCGAUUGCGAAGGCAGUUCACUGGACUGCAACUGACACUGAGGCUCGAAAGUGUGGGUAUCAAACAGGAUUAGAUACCCUAGUAGUC
rnacentral:rRNA from 1 species